rnacentral:rRNA from 1 species
GAUGAACGCUAGCUACAGGCUUAACACAUGCAAGUCGAGGGGCAGCAUGAACUUAGCUUGCUAAGUUUGAUGGCGACCGGCGCACGGGUGAGUAACACGUAUCCAACCUGCCGAUGACUCGGGGAUAGCCUUUCGAAAGAAAGAUUAAUACCCGAUGGCAUAGUUCUUCCGCAUGGUAGAACUAUUAAAGAAUUUCGGUCAUCGAUGGGGAUGCGUUCCAUUAGGUUGUUGGCGGGGUAACGGCCCACCAAGCCUUCGAUGGAUAGGGGUUCUGAGAGGAAGGUCCCCCACAUUGGAACUGAGACACGGUCCAAACGCCUACGGGAGGCAGCAGUGAGGAAUAUUGGUCAAUGGACGAGAGUCUGAACCAGCCAAGUAGCGUGAAGGAUGACUGCCCUAUGGGUUGUAAACUUCUUUUAUACGGGAAUAAAGUGAGGCACGUGUGCCUUUUUGUAUGUACCGUAUGAAUAAGGAUCGGCUAACUCCGUG